AUUUAUGAAUUAUAAAUGGAAAAAUAGUAACUUUACAGUGGAGAAACCCAGCAGACAUGAUCUCAACCGAGAGGUCCAGGCUAAUGUCACCAACUGUGAACGUAAUGCUAUCUUGUGCCCUCGAUAUGAUACAUUGAGAAGGGCACUUCCUGUCACUAAACACAUCAAACAUUAAUCUUAUCUUAAGAAAAUACCACACUAGGGCUGGGCGUGGUGGCUCAAGCCCGUAAUCCAGCACUUUGGGAGGCCAAAGCGCGUGGAUUGCCUGAGCUCACUGGUUCAAGACCAGCUUGAGCCAGAGUGAGACCCUAAAAUAGCUGGGCAUUGUGGCGGGCGCCUGUAGUCCCAGCUGCUUGGGAGGCUGUAACAAGAGAAUCGCUUAAGUCCAAGAGUUUGAGGUUGCUGUGAGCUAUGAUACCACAGUACUCUACCAAGGGUGAUGAAGUGAGACUCUGUCUCCAAAAGAAAAAAAAAGGAAUGAGAAGAAAAUAACAAACAAACACCAACUGAGCAGCAUUCUAUAAAUUAUCUACCUCUUGUCUUCAAAAGCGGCAAGGUCAUAAAAGUCAAGGAAAGGCUGAGGAGGAGGGCUGAGGAGACACAACAAAACACAGUGUGAAAUCCUGGAAAGGAACAAAGAUGUUAGUGGAAAACUGGUGAACACUGACUCAUCUCAUAUUGCCUCAGAAUCUGGCAAGUGGAAGUUCCCAGCAGGCUGGAGUUACCCAAACUUGAGGGGACCGGUUGCCAAAGAGUUUUUGGCCGGGGCUGGGUUUGAACCUGCCACCUCUGACAUAUGGGGCCGGCGCCCUACUCCUUUGAGCCACAGGCGCUGCUCCUCAUAUAUAUUGUUUUUAAAAGAAGAAGAGAAAUAGAACAAGGAAGAGGAGAGAAGAGAAAACGUAGUCCUGCCGAUGUGACUCUGCAAUUCCCGUGCUGUAUAACUGAGGAAGGUCGCGGAGCAGCCACAGGGGAGUUUGGACCUCGUCAGGUGGCCUCUCGUCUCUCUGACCUGGAUGAUCUAGGAUCCUGUUUCUGCCUCUGAUUAUGAAGCUGGAGAUAUGUAUGUUGACAAGAAACAGUGAAACUCAUUUUUAGGCACUUGUUUCCCCAUGAUUGAGAAGUGUUGGGUUUCUAUCCAUCAGCAGGGGCUGUUCAUCUGAGUUUCCCUUAGAGAGGGGGGGCAUUGAUUUUACUUUGUUCCUUUCUUUUCCUUUUUCCCCUCUUCUUUCUCCCCUUCUCCCUCUCCCUCCCCUCCCCCACUCCCCCCUUCUGCCCCCCCUCCCCCUCCCCCUCCUUCCCCUCCCCCUCCUUCUAUAUUCUGGCACUUCCUCUUGCCUCAGUAUCAGUACUGCAUCACAUAACGUGGUGAUAAGAACUGAAAUUGUUCAUUGACAUUAUCAUCGGGCUAUUUUGAAAACAUUAUCUCAUUGCGUUUCCAAGAAUAUCAUCAAGUCUCCACCAUAGCAGUUCCUUAAAAGAGAAUGUUGUUUUUGUUCCAACUGAAGAAGCCAAAAUAUGUUAGUGAAUUUUGUCUUCAGUGAUACUGGCUUCCUUCCCUAAUCCUGUGGCCAAAAGUACAGCUUUACCGAACUUUUUGCUCUAGCAGAAUCUGAUGGAGUUUGUUGACUUGGGAAUUAGCGACUUUGAGUGGCUGGUCCUCCCUCUUCCUGCGGACUGUCUGCACUGUAGCCUCGCAGCAAACUGCAUACCCGUGACGGAGUCUCUCCCAUUGGUAUCUGUGGACUUGUCAUCUCUUUCCCCACCCUCACCCUCUAGCCAGUCGCCUUGUGCUCGGGCUGUGUUAGACAGAGCAUCCUGUCAUGGCAGAAUUCAGAGCUAGUCAGUUUUCAAUAUAUUCCCCCAAGUAGAAAAACAGCUUUCCUAUUGCUUGAGAGUUUGACUUGUUUCCAUUAACAUGGAAAAGUGGUUGUCUAAUCAUCAGAUUUUCCUCUUCUCUGACCUUGAAUCCUCAUUUGUGAGAUUAGAUAAAGUGAGCGUUCAUUAGUGUUUCUAUGAAAGGAUUAUUUUAAAAACUUUUAACUAGUCCCAGUUUUCUUCACGUUUUCUGGUUUAUUGGUAAAUUCAUGUGUUUACUUGUUCAUUUAAUUAAUUCUUUUAUGGCUUUCUAAAUUGCUAUAUACAAACCUAAUUUUAGGUAGCAUCCUUAAAUAAAUUUUAAGCAAUAAUAGUUGGGAUGGGCGAGGUAGGGGAAAGAGAAUUAGUGAGCACAGACACCAUGAGACACCCUGGAGCUUCUGGAAGGCCCAGGGGCCUGAUGGCUUACGUUUCCAUCAUCAGGACUCAUUUCAGCAACAGUCUUGGCUCUAGAACGCAAGUAACAAACAUUAGAAUAGGCAAUGGCCUUCAACCAGAUACACUGGCAAAGCGUGUGUUCACAUGGAAACCAUGGUUUGGUUGUAUCAUGUACGUCAGCAUGACUCCCAAGACUGAGUCUUUCGGGACUGCUAAUUACUUUGUGAGGGAAUUAAUGUAUGAGUAAACACAAGGUAGGAUGUUGCUAGCAUUAGUGACCAAUGAGCAGAAGUCCUUGCAAGGCACAUGGAGACUGAGACCAGCUACUUAAUGAAUUUACCAAAAGAUUGAUUUAUUAGGCGACUCCCCAGAGAAUUUAGCAAUAAACAAUGCUGCCAGCUCUUGAUCGCUCAGCUGUAGCCUUCCUUCCUGUAUUUGUUUGGAAUAAUGAUUAACAUACAGUGAUCAAGUUUUUGCUUGUCAUUUACUGUAGCAUAUUUUUUUCUUUUGUUUUUUAGUAUCUUUGCCUAUCAAGCAGGGCUUUUAAAGCUCAUCCAGGAAUUAUGCUUUGGACCCUACAUUUCUCUGCAAUUUUCCAUGUCACCUUGCUGGGCAGAGGAGUGGGAAAAAAUGCAGACUUUUUUAUUGAACACUGCCUUGUUUUAAUAUAUUGUAUCUGCUAAAUUGGGAGAAAAAAGUAUUCUUUGCAUUUUUCUUUUGUGGAGAUUAUUUUACUUGCCUUUUUCUGUCUGGGUCUGAAAGGUUCAACAUGACUGAUAAAGAAGGUAAAUAGCCGUGAGUGUGAUUGGGGGGAAAUAGGAAUUGAUUAGUGCUAGGGAAGCGUUAAACUCCUCUGGCUGGUCACUGUGCCUGGUUUUAGUGUCAAGGAAUUUUAUAGCCUCCCACUGUCAGGCAGCCCUCAGAAAAUCUGCUCUUCUUUUCAACAAUGAUGCUGGGGCUGAAGCUGGGUGAGGUGUCCACUCAGCGUGUCAGCAGCGUGGAAAGGACCACGGUGGAAAGUCAACCAGAAGUGACAGUGCCAGUUAAAGAAAAGAGGACUUGGAAAAGGAGUGAGGAUGAGUGUUAACAGUGACUCUGGGCAGGACGUUAGUGAAGGAAGAACUAAAUUCAAGUUAAGGAUAAGCAAAGAAACAUAGGUAUAUUCUAUGGCUGGGGCUAAGCCGGUUCGGUUCCAUAGUGAGCGAGGACUUUUUGCUUUGAGUGCGCAUUUGCAGGGUGUGGGUGUGUGUGGGGGGGGCUGGAGGCUGAGGCAGACUGGGGAGAGGACAUUCUCCUUCUAGUCGGGUCAGCUCUUGGGCUCCAGCUAAUUGUCACCAUGUGGACCUCAUGUUGCCAAGUCUUCUCAGUUCUCGAAAAAAAAAAAAGGUGUAUCUGAUAUUUUAUAGGGAAUAUGUCAGAUUUUAAAUGUAGCACCACACUAAAGAACAACAACAAAACAACAAAAAACCCAAGGAAAACAAACAGAUGAAGAGGUACUAAUUUUUAAUUGCCAUUGACAUAAGUCUGCUUUUCAGUUUUGUUUUUUUUUUUCACCCUCAGUAGAGUGCUAUGGCGUCACAGCUCACAGCAAACUCAAACUCUUGGGCUCAAGCGAUUCUCUUGCCUCCGCCUCCUAAAUACCUGGUACUACAGGUGUCCACCACAACAUCUGGCUAUUUUUAGAGAUGAAGUCUUGCUCUGGCUCAGGCUGGUCUCCAACCUGUGAGCUGUUGGAGCAAUCCACCUGCCUCGGCCUCCCAGAGUGCUAGGAUUACAGGCGUGAGCCACUGCACCUGGCCUCAGUGUAAGUAUUUGAGACAAACCUCUGCAGCUAUAGAGGUGUCUCUAAAU